UAACUUGCCUUGGGUCUGGGAUAACCCCUGAGAAUUGGGGWCAAUACCGRAUAGGGCAUCGAUAGCUGGAAUGCGCGAUGUCCAAAAGCUGAGGCGCCCAAGGUAUAGGUCUGCGGCCGAUUAGGUUGUUGUUGAUGUAAUGGAUCAACAAGCCUGCAAUCGGUACGGGUUGUSAGAGCAAGAGCCCGGAGAUGKGUUCUGAGAAAAGAACCCAGGUCCUACGGGACGCAUCAGGCGCGAAAACUUUACAAUGUGCGAAAGCACGAUAAGGGAACUCUGAGUGCCUCCUAUGGAGGCUGUUCAGGUGUCUAAAAAGCACUUGAAGUAAGGGCUGGGUAAGACCGGUGCCAGCCGCCGCGGUAACACCGGCAGCCCAAGUGGUAGCCACGAUUAUUGGGUCUAAAGCGUCCGUAGCCGGCCAGGUAAGUUCUUUGGGAAAUUUAACCGCUCAACGGUUAAGCUUUCAGGGAAUACUGCUUGGCUUGGGACCGGGAGAGGUCAGAGGUACUUCAAGGGUAGGGGUGAAAUCCGUUAAUCCUUGAGGGACCACCAGUAGCGAAGGCGUCUGACCAGACCGGGUCCGACGGUGAGGGACGAAGGCUAGGGUCGCGAACCGGAUUAGAUACCCGGGUAGUCCUAGCUGUAAACGAUGCGGGCCAGGUGUUGGCAUUACUGCGAGUGAUGUCAGUGCCGAAGGGAAGCCGUUAAGCCCGCCAUCUGGGGAGUACGGUCGCAAGGCUGAAACUUAA
rnacentral:rRNA from 1 species